rnacentral:misc_RNA from 1 species
AACGCAUAUGGCACCCGAGACCUCGGUCGAGGGUAUGUCUGUCUCAGAGUCGGCGUUAAAAACAUCCCCAAGGAGAGGAUCCCUCUCGGCGGGGGAGCUGGCCCCCCCGGGACGUCCCCCCGUGGGACCGACCCGGGUCGGCUGAAGGCGAGAGACGGGGGACCGCACGCGCCGGGCAGCCACGAUUUUGGUGGGAGGACCUCGCGUCCGCAUCACGGAUCGGUGCGCCCCUCAACAGCGUCGGGACCCCGCCCUAGCAGGAAAACCAACCUAAAACCGUUCCGACCUGAGAUCAGGCAAGAUCACCCGCUGAACUUAA